rnacentral:lncRNA from 1 species
UUUUUUUCUGGUGUGUUCGUCUUCUGAUUUUCGAUGUGAAUUGUUUCAAUCACUUUCUCCAUUACUUCAACAAGUGUGAUUUUGUUUCUAUUUAAAGGCAAUUGGAAAGCAUCACUGAUGGGUUUUGUUUAAUGAAUAGCGCACUCAGUCUUUUCGUUGCCGAAAUUGAAUUUUAUUUGAGUACAUGCUUGCAGUUGCUGUUUCUAUUUCCAUACGGUUGUUGCAUUCAGUUGCUCUUACAUUCUUUUACGUUUUAUUCAAAAAC